GUUCAAAAUGCGUAUUUGGAAAGGAAAUACUUACGGGCAAAGGGAUUGGCUCCGGAAAGCGGUCGUUAUUCGAGAGCAGAUCCUCAUAAGUAGUUGACCAGCUGCAAUACAAAAUUCAAAAUUUUGAGGUCAAACAAACUAGCAUGUUGACUUUUUUAAGGGUCAAGUGAAUAAGCAUGCAACUCUGGAUAAAUAAUUCGAAUUUCAACUCAAGAUGCUAGUAUUAAACAUAAUAAUCAUAUCAAUUUCUAAGUUGAAAAUUAGUAAAAGUCAAAAGUAAACCGGACCUUAUGACUGGAUCUUCUGGCGUUCUUCCUCUUCGGGAUCUUUGAGAUUGAUCUCCGACCCAUUUUCUUCUGCUCUCGUUCCAAGCAAUUGCGCCUACAAAACAAGUUGUACGCAUAUAAACUUUUCAUUGGCAUUUAAUCAAUCUACAUUGAUGAUUAAGUUUCUCAAAUAUGCAACGGCAUAGCUUUGUGGGGGCGGCCGACCCCUCGAACUUUUCGCUCGUUAGUGGAGAGUAUGUAGUUUUCGUAUAGAAAUUUUUGGGUAUAUACGUUUUUGACCCCCCGGUUUUAUAGAAAUUUUUGGUAUAUACGUCUUCGACCCCCCGGUCGGAAAACUAAAGCUUCGCCACUGCAAAUAUGUGUACUUAUGUUGACAAAAUUAUAUAAAACUCACCAUGGUUAAUAAAUACAGUGGUGUUACUACCAUUGUUGUCAGGAUGCUUUCUUGCUUCUUUUGCAGGUGAAGACAGUUCUAAGGGCCGUUUCUCAUUGACCCGUGAAUUUCCAGUGUUGACUUCCACCAUCAUGAUAUUAUUGGCUCGUGAACUUGUUGUGUCGAUUUCCAUCAUGUUUACAAUUCAAAUAUAUGUUUUUGUUUACAGGAAAAUGCUCAUUGUUUUGGAAAAUUGCAUGUUAUUUGAGUACUAGUCAGGAUU
rnacentral:lncRNA from 1 species